GCACACACCUUGGCAGUACAUCUACUAAAAUUGGAAUGCUACAGAGAAUAUUAGUAUGGCCUCUGUGCAAGGAUGACAAGCAUAUUCAUAAGGUGCUCCAUAUUUUU
rnacentral:snRNA from 1 species